rnacentral:rRNA from 1 species
UUGACCUCGAAUCAAGUAGGACUACCCGCUGAACUUAAGCAUAUCAAUAAGCGGAGGA